CGCAUUUUUAUUGAUGAGUUGAAUCCUGCCAUUACUUAGACAAGCUAAGAUAUUUUUAUUUUCCAUGUUUGAAUGUUAUAUGUAUCUUAAACACCCAUGAUGCAGGGUUGUGAUGGUAAGCCAAAGCCAUAUUGGUGAGUGGCUGAUAAGACAAAAGGCAAUAAAUGCUUAUUCAAUUUCUUGCUUUUAUGUAGGUGGGAAAAUCUUAAUAUGUGAUUAAUCAGGUGCUAGAAGUGUGGCCUCAUCCCAUUUUUCGGUUUAUUUCACUUAAACAACCAUGAAGUAGUAUAUAUGUGCAUCAUCAGCAACCAAGCACCUCAUUCUUCAGGCAACGCAGGCCAUCAGGGUUCUAGUAGAGCUUCAUAAUCGAGGUGCCUAAGAGCACAUAUCUUACAUUCGAAGUUGAUCCCCACAAAUUCGUGAGAGAGUAGGCUUAAUCUCUAGGUGUUGGGGUGGUUUGUAUCCUUGUGAGGAUGUUUGCAUCCUAUACAAGUUCUUGUAAAUGUCUUUCUGCCUUCAACUACAUGAUCAUGAUCAACACCACCACCCAAGGACCAAACCCAUCCACGACAAAUUCUAGAAGACCUUUGUUGGAAAUUGAUGUCAAAGGGGGAGAGAGAGAUCACAUCAAAGCUUAACCAUAUCUCUAGGGGGAGAGAAUACUCAAGGAGAGAGUAAGGUUCAAGCCGAAACGGCCCAGCAACCGCUCGAUCCCCACGAGCACUAGCCGCCGCUCUGCCCGACGCCGCCGGACAGGAGCUCCACCAGCCCGCCACCGCCCACCCCCUGGCCGCCCAACCUACACGCCGGUUCUCGCCCCGGGGUGGCCCCUCUCCACACGACGGCCCGCCUCGCCGCCGCCGGACGGGAACUCCGCCAGCGCCACUUCUCACGACGCCGUCGGCCGGGAGCUCUGUGAGCCUCGCUCCUCGCGACCCCGCUGGACAGGCAGCCCGCCGCCUCUGGUCGCCUUUGGCCGCCUUGCCUAGAC